GUCGGUUUGUACUUCGGCAUGGUAGCAGAAUCAGGAAAUCGACAGCACGAGUGGUGAUGUGUCAGGUUGUCACUGUUGCAGGAAUAUGCUGCGAAACAACUUGCAGGUCGAAUUAUUAGACUUUGGCUGUAGUAGAUGCUUGAAGAAGUCUGCCUAUUCAACAUACAGUGGCACAAGAGCUCCCCAUGAGAGUGCCUGUCUUAGAAGGUACCACGGCAAGCCUGCAACAGUGUAUUCUUUAGGCGUACUGUUGUUCAGGAUGGUGUGUGGGCAGUUCCCUGUCAAGCAGCUCCCUGAGAUCUUUCCCAGGAACUGGUACAUAGAAGAACUUUCCAAAGAAUGCGUAGGUCUGAUCUGUUCAUGCCUGGAAAGUGAUCCAGCCAAGCGGAUUGUUGAUUAUAUGUGUAUAUAUACACAUACUGUAUAUGCAACUAAUAUAUUAUAAUUUACCAUUGUAUAGUUCCAAGCAGCAAUUACAGAU